rnacentral:rRNA from 1 species
UACGGGGGGAGCAAGCGUUGUUCGGAUUUAUUGGGCGUGAAGAGCUCGUAGGCGGCUUGUUGCGUCAGCUGUGAAAACCCGCAGCUCAACUGUGGGCUUGCAGCUGAUACGGGCAGGCUUGAGUUCGGUAGGGGAGACUGGAAUUCUCGGUGUAGCGGUGAAAUGCGUAGAUAUCGAGAGGAACACCUGCGGCGAAGGCGGGUUGCUGGGCUGACACUGACGCUGAUGCGCGAAAGCUAGGGGAGCGAACGGG